GACGAACGCUGGCGGCGCGCUUAACACAUGCAAGUCGAACGGCAAGGCCCCUUUAGGGGUACUCGCGAGGAGAACGGGCGAGUAACACGUGAGUAACCUGCCCUCGACUUCGGAAUAACUUCUGGAAACUGGGGCUAAUACCGGAUAGGCAUCCUUGCUGCAUGGGGGGGGUUGGAAAGCCUCGGCGGCUUUGGAUGGACUCGCGGCUCGUCAGCUUGUUGGUGGGGUAGUGGCUUACCAAGGCCUUGACGGGUAGCCGGCCUGACAGGGCGACCGGCCACAUUGGGAAUGGGAUACGUGCCAGACUCCGACGUGGGGCAGCAGUGGUGAGUAUUGCACAAUGCGCGGGCGCCUGAGGCGGAGACGCCGCGUGCGGGAUGACGGCCUUCGGGUUGUAAACCGCGUUCAGCAGGGGCGAAGCUUGUGGUGACGGUACCUGCAGAAGAGGCACCGGCUAACUACGUG
rnacentral:rRNA from 1 species